UACGUAGGUGGCAAGCGUUGUCCGGAUUUAUUGGGUUUAAAGGGUGCGUAGGCGGCCUUAUAAGUCAGUGCUGAAAUAUCCCGGCUUAACCGGGAGGGUGGCAUUGAUACUGUAGGGCUUGAGUAAAGUUGAGGUUGGCGGAAUUGACGGUGUAGCGGUGAAAUGCGUAGAUAUCGAGAGGAACACCUGCGGCGAAGGCGGGUUGCUGGGCUGAUACUGACGCUGAGGCGCGAAAGCCAGGGGAGCGAACGGG
rnacentral:rRNA from 1 species